rnacentral:rRNA from 1 species
UCGAGAAUCUUUCGCAAUGGGCGCAAGCCUGACGAAGCGACGCCGUGUGAGCGAAGAAGGCCUUCGGGUUGUAAAGCUCUUUCGCUAGGGAACAAGAACGAUAGGAUAACACCCUAUCAAUUUGAUGGUACUUGGUAAAGAAGCACCGGCUAACUCCGUGCCAGCAGCUGCGGUAAUACGGAGGGUGCAAGCAUUGAUCGGAAUUACUGGGCGUAAAGGGCGCGUAGGCGGCUUGAAAAGUCAGAUGUGAAAUUCCGGGGCUCAACCCCGGAGCUGCAUUUGAAACUUUCAAACUAGAGUUUAGUUAGGGAAAACGGAAUUCCACGUGUAGCGGUGAAAUGCGUAGAUAUGUGGAAGAACACCAGUGGUGAAGACGGUUUUCUGGGCUAACACUGACGCUGAGGCGCGAAAGCAAGGGGAGCAAACAGG